UACAGAGGGUGCAAGCGUUAUUCGGAGUUAUUGGGCGUAAAGAGCGCGUAGGUGGUUCGAUAAGUUUGUUGUGAAAGCCCUGGACUCAAUCCAGGAAGUGCAUCGAAUACUGUCGAACUAGAGUGCAGGAGAGGUGAGCGGAAUUCCAGGUGUAGAGGUGAAAUUCGUAGAUAUCUGGAGGAACAACAGUGGCGAAGGCGGCUCACUGGACUGCAACUGACACUGAGGCGCGAAAGCGUGGGGAGCAAAC
rnacentral:rRNA from 1 species